GAUGAACGCUGGCGGCGUGCCUAAUACAUGCAAGUCGAGCGAACAGACGAGGAGUUUGCUCCUCUGACGUUAGCGGCGGACGGGUGAGUAACACGUGGAUAACCUACCUAUAAGACUGGGAUAACUUCGGGAAACCGGAGCUAAUACCGGAUAAUUUAUUGAACCGCAUGGUUCAAUAGUGAAAGACGGUUUUGCUGUCACUUAUAGAUGGAUCCGCGCCGCAUUAGCUAGUUGGUAAGGUAACGGCUUACCAAGGCAACGAUGCGUAGCCGACCUGAGAGGGUGAUCGGCCACACUGGAACUGAGACACGGUCCAGACUCCUACGGGAGGCAGCAGUAGGGAAUCUUCCGCAAUGGGCGAAAGCCUGACGGAGCAACGCCGCGUGAGUGAUGAAGGUCUUCGGAUCGUAAAACUCUGUUAUUAGGGAAGAACAAAUGUGUAAGUAACUAUGCACGUCUUGACGGUACCUAAUCAGAAAGCCACGGCUAACUACGUG
rnacentral:rRNA from 1 species